CAGCAGCCACGGGAAUACGUAGGUGGCAAGCGUUGUCCGGAAUUAUUGGGCGUAAAGGGCUCGCAGGCGGUUUCUUAAGUCUGAUGUGUAAGCCCCCGGCUCAACCGGGGAGGGUCAUUGGAAACUGGGAAACUUGAGUGCAGAAGAGGAGAGUGGGAUUCCACGUGUAGCGGUGAAAUGCGUAGAGAUGUGGAGGAACACCAGUGGCGAAGGCGACUCUCUGGUCUGUAACUGACGCUGAGGAGCGAAAGCGUGGGGAGCAAACAGGAUUAGAUACCCCAGUAGUCCCUGUCUCUUAUAC
rnacentral:rRNA from 1 species